rnacentral:tRNA from 1 species
AGUAAAGUCAGCUAAUUAAGCUCUUGGGCCCAUACCCCAAACAUGUUGGUCAAAUCCUUCCUUUACUA